AUGCCUAAGUUCCCCCCUCCGACAAACUUUUCCUUCGAUAGGCCAGGAGAGUGGCCGGAGUGGAAGCAGCGUUUUGUGAGAUUCAGAAUCGCAACCAAGCUGGACAAGGAAGACCUUGUCCAGCUUGGUUGGACAAGGUCAGCUGUGCAGGUUAGCAGUCUGAUAUACGCUAUGGGAAGCGAGUCGGAGAACAUCUUCCGUUCGUUUAACUUCGAAGAUAAUGCACAUAGAGAUGAUUAUGAGAGGGUGCUUGGAAAGUUCGAUGAUUACUUUGUGCCAAGAAGGAAUGUAAUACACGAACGUGCAUGUUUCCAUCUGCGCGUGCAAAGACCAGGAGAAAAAGCUGAAACUUUUAUCAGGGCUUUGAAUGAACUGGCAGAACAUUGCGAAUUCGGCGGGAACAGAGAUGAGAAUAUCCGCGACCGAAUCGUAGUUGGAAUACUCGACAAAGAUGUCUCACGGAAAUUGCAGCUGACAAAGGACUUAACGCUAGCGCUGACUAUAGAGACAGUCAGGCAGUCGGAAGAAGUUGCUUCUCAAGUCAGCAUGCAAGGAGAGACAACGGGGGUGAUACAAGUCACUCACGAGCGCAGCAAAUACCCCAAUCACUACGGUAAGCCAAAAGGGGGAAAUAAAGGGCAAUGUGGACUGUGUGGGAAAGCGUGGCACAGUAAAGAUGAAAAUUGCCCGGCUCGUAAUUCCACAUGCAAUACAUGUAACAAAGUUGGACAUUGGAGUAGAGUGUGUAGGCGCAGGCAGGCAGUGAGUGAGGUUACAGAGCAAACGGAGCAGCAGUCACACUUUCUUGGGGCUGUGAGUAAAGCAGACGGGUCGCCAGAGCAAUGGGCCGUCGAGUUACUGGUGGGCUCUACACCAGUUGAUUUCAAAAUCGACACAGGGGCCGAUGUUAACGUCAUCUGCGAGGAGACCUACCACUCACUCAUGCCCAAAAGAGCACUGCAGCCUGCAGAGAUGCCACUGGACAGCCCAGGGGGCGAGCUGCAGUGCAUAGGACAGUUCCAGAGCACUGUAACCUACAAAGGAAGGACUCACCCACUCACAGCAUAUGUCAUCCGCGGACGUACGGUCAACAACCUACUCAGCAGGCCGCUGUCUGUGAAAAUGGAUCUAGUGAGGAGAGUGAAUGAAACAGUGUGCAACAGAGAACAUCCACAGGCAUAUGGCACGCAUGGGACUUUAAAGACUGAACCAGUGAGAAUACUGCUGAAAGACAAUGCUCAGCCAUAUGCUGUAUACACAGCACGACGCGUGCCUCUCCCUAUGCUGUAA
rnacentral:lncRNA from 1 species